rnacentral:lncRNA from 1 species
AAAUUCAAAACUGGAUAAAUAAGGAAUAAUUUCAGCUCACAUUGCUUUUAUAUGUGGCGAAUAUUGAGACAUAUGUAGAAAACAAUCCCUAUGUAAAUAGAUUGUGCCAUUAUUCCAGUAGAAUUACUUUGUUUCUGCAAUGUAAUAAUUACUUGGGGUGGGCACAGUGAUGGGGAUGAUUAUAAUUAGCAUUUUUCAGCAUUGUGCCAUUUUAAAAGACCCUUGCCAAGCUGUUGGGGGAUAUAUUUCUAAGUACCAUCAACCUCAUGACAGAGAUGAGUAAGCUCAGGCAUAUGUGAAUUAACAGCACACUUACAGCAGAAAAAGUCACUGAAAGAAUUCAUCUGGGGAUUUCCCAACUCAAAUGUAAUAUUUUUUCCAUGCUUGAAACAAGUUAAUUACCUUUCAAGUUCAUUAACAACAUAAGUCUAUAAUUUGAAGGCUAUUCCAGCAUGUCUCUCUGUUUCUCACUGAACUCCUAUCUGCAGUUCACAGGAGGAUCCUCACUGUUGGUGGAUGCAGACUUGUCCCUGUUGCAGACCUGGCUGGUUGUGGAAGAGGAGCUGGGGACACCCACAGAAACAUCACUGACAGCACAGUGCUCUCCUUGGGAUGGAUUUGAAAGAAGAGGGAGGUGUAGUCUGAGGCAUGUUAAUUUGAGAAGAACUAGGAACUGUUACUCUUGAUCCAUACUUGAAAAGAAGGGACCCCACCAUUGCCAGCAUCCAGCAGGAAAUGCUUUUUUCAGGAAAUUCUGGCAUAAAAAUCAAGAUCAAGCCCAAAAGAUAAAAUUUCUCAACUCAGAAGUGGUCCUGAAGGGAAACAUGAUGAUGUGGACAAUAUUUAUACUGCACUUCGUACAUUGUGUCUGUUCUGGCAAAAGAGAGAAGCUUUGCCUCUCAAGGACUACCCAUAAAAAUGUUUCACCUGUAUACAGGUGACUUGAAAUUAAAACAAAAUGCCUCAUCAAAUAGAAGUAACACCAUCCCUUAUUGCCAGUGACUAAAUUCUGGUUGUUACAUCUCAGUUUGAAGUGCAUUGUAUUUUCACAGAAUCACAGAACUGUAGGGGUUGGAAGGGAUCUCAAAAAAUCAUCAGGUCCAACCCCCAUGCCAAAGCAGGUUCCUCAGAGCAGGCUGCCCAGGUAGGCGUCCAGACAGGCCUUGAAUAUCUCCAGAGAAGGAGACUCCACAACCUCCCUAGGCAGCCUGUUCCAAUGCUCCCUCACCCUCACUGUGAAGAAGUUCUUUCGCAUGUCAGUGAGGAACUUCCUGUGCUCUAACUUGCAGCCAUUGCCCCUUGUCCUAUCCCCACAAACCACUGAGAAGAGGUUGGCUGCGUCCUUCUGUCCCCCACUCCUGAGAUAUUUAUAUACACUGUGGAGAUCCCCUCUCAGCCUUCUCUUCUCCAGGCUGAACAGACCCAGGUCUCUC